GUCCCCACCUUAAUCUCACCUUCAAUUGUGAUAAUCCCCAUAUGUCAUGGGAGGGACCUGGUGGGAGGUAAUUGAAUCAUGGGGGCAGGCUUUUCCCAUGUUGGUCUCAUGAUAGUGAAUAAGUCUCACAAGAUCUGAUGGUUUUACAAAGGGGAAUGCCCCUGCACAUGCUCCCUCUUGCCUGCCGCCAUGCAAGAUGUGACUUUGCUCCUCCUUUGCCUUCUGCCAUGAUAAUGAGGCCUCUCCAGCCACGUGCAACUGUAAGUCCAUCAAACCUCUUUUUCUUUAUACAUUACCCAGUCUUGGGUACUGUCUUUAUUAGCAGCAUGAACAUAGACUAAUGCAACCUGGAUGGGACACAGGGUGCCCAGAUAUUUGGUCAAGCAUGAUUCCAGGUGUUUCUGCGAGGGUGUUUUGGAUGAGAUGAACAUUUAAACUGAAGGAUGUUCAGUAAAGCAAUGUGCCCUCCCUAAUGUGGGUGGGCCUUACCCAAUCAGUGGAAGGCCUGAUUAGAACCCAAAUGCAAGAGAGAAUUCUGCUGCAGAAGGCCUUCAGGCUCCAUCUGUGAGGUCAGCUCCACCUGCUUCUACCACAGACAGCCUUCAGACUAGAACCAUGGCAUCGGUUCUCCUCACUCUCCAGCCUGUUGGCUCAUCCUGUGGAUUUUGGACUUGCCAGUUCCAACAUGGUUCAAGCCAAUUCCUUAUCACAAAUCUCUGUCUGUAUAUCAGCACAUCCUGUGGGUUCAGCUUCUCUUGAGAACACUGACCAAUCCAAUCACCGUUACUCCCGAUGACUUGUAGGUGAAGCCCCUUAAGGAAAAUUUCUUUCACAAAUGAGAGCUAGGGAAAGAUUUACUCUUCCUGAGCAGCUAAAGUAUUUUCUCCAAUGGCCACGAGAACCUUAAACCUUUCCUUCUUUCCACGCUCCCAUUGGCCGCCAGGAACUUGCAGCUUGGCUACAGCAAUCAUGAAGGACCUGACUGGGCUCAGCACAUGUGCCCAGGCCACCCAGGUAGAGGUGGAGGGCAUGGGAUUCAAGCCCAGGCCAUCGUUGGCUCUGAACAUAUACCUGAAACAACCUCCCUACCAGGAAGGAGGCUGCCCUGCCUGGAGUGAAGAGUGCAUGGAGCAGUCUCAGCCGACCCAGGUGGGAUGCGUAACAUGGCCGAGAAAUCCACCCAUGCUGCUGAGAGCUACUGCGCCAUGGGGUCAUGUGUCACCUAACUGACUUAGCCCAGCCUGACUGAUCCCCCGUGUGUGACCAGACAUCAGCACAUUCAGAGGACCUCAUACUGAGAAUUGGUGGACCUUUCAGAAUGGACAUGACCACUCAAAGUAGGGACAUUACUCGCUAUUUGAUGGCCCAUGUGGGAUCAAAGGCCACUGGGGUUCCCUCAAGGCACAGCACACUUAGAAUCCCAUAAGUCCUCAGUUCUAAGGCAUGUAUUUUUCAUACUUUGAUAAUUCUGAAAUCAAGUAUAGCUUCUAGUAGAUAUUAAAACUCAUUUUCAGAUCCUGCAGAAAGGAGGAGACAGAAAUAAAGUUGCCAUUCCCUGCUUUUGUAUGAACCCAGCUGAGCAUAAACCGUAAUCUAUUCAACCUCUACCGGGUGUUUGCCUUGCGUCCCCACACGUGGUUGACUCAUAACCUAAGUUUGAAUCCCUAAUUUUCACUUUAAAUAACUUCAGCUACUCGGGAUGCUGAGGCAGGGGAAUCGUCUGAACCCAGGAGGUGGAGGUUGCAAUGAGCCGAGACUGCGCCACUGCAUUCCACCCUGGGUGACACAGCAAGACUCUGUCUCGGGAAAUAAAAUUAAAUUAAAUUAAAUCAAAUCUUCAAAAAUAUUGCAGUACAAUGCAGCACUGAAACAAGAAGCUGUUGUGUAUGUGAGAUUUCCUGUCCCACAUUGGGCAAUGCAACUGAAGGCAAUAGAAACCAGGACAUUGCUCAGAAUAUGCCAUAAAGCUCCACCAUGCUAAGAGUUUAAAAAAAAGAAAAGAAAAGAAAGAAAGAAAAACAGAAAACCAAAAAUAAAAGAAGAAAAAUAAAGCUCCACCGUGCAGCUGGAGAUGUUAGCAUGAAUAACCUCUAGAUGAACAUAAUCUAUCAAAAGGUUUUUGCUGUCAGAAGAAACAACAGAAAGUAGAAUCAGACCCAGACCUGUCAAAAUUAUCAGAAUAUAAUAUAAAAUAAGCAUGAUUAAAGGAUUAAGAGAAAAUAUUUAAAACAUAAAGAACAAGAGAUUAUAAAAUGACCAAGCAGAUUUGGAAAGACCUAAAUGUAAUUCCAGAGAUGAAAAUAUAUUAAGUGAUACUAACAGAUGGUCAGACAUGGCUGAAAAUUAUGUUGGUGAACGGAAAGACAGAUCUGAGCUAUGGCCCAGAAUACAGCACAGAGAGACAAUGGGAGACAAGAAGGAGCUGCCAAGAGGCAUGAGGGGUGGAGUAAAAGCUACACUGUAUGGUCCUAGGAGCUCCAGUAGAAGAGAAUAGAAUAGGGCAAAGGCUAGAUCUGAAGGGGAAAUGGCUGAGAAGUUUUUAGAACAGAUGAAAAACAUCAAUCCCCAGAUUUGGGCAUCCCAAAGAAUCCAACCUAGGAUGAGUGAUAAGCAAUCCAUAGCUGGGGACAUCAUAGUGACACCAUACAAUACCAAGAGGUGUUUUUAAAUGUACCUGGGAUUUUGUUUUAAUCAGGUACAUUAACAUGACAGACAUGGAGACAGCUGCCUUAAAAGAAGUUUAUUACUUACAGUUCCCAGGAGCAGGGGGCAUGCCAUGCUAUGCAGUCUACAUGAGGAAGGACGAGGGUUGGUCAGGAGGCAGAGGGAGCAGGGGAACACAAGGGGAGACUUUACUAUCACUACUAUUACUAUUGACAUAGUAAUAAUAGUAAUAAAGUACCAUAGUAGUCAAGACUCUCCCCUUGGUGGUGGAAAGUUAAGUGAGGGUGUCUCCUAUGGGGCAGAAGGCAAAACACAGAUGUUGGGGGUUGUGGCCAGAGGGUUUGUGAUAUGAUUUUUGUGCACCCAUGAAAACACAAGGAUAGUAAGGAUAGAAACAAGCCUGGCUAUAGUUUGGCUCAUGAUUUCAAGAUACCAAAUUACAGGACAUCAAGAAUGAUUAUUACAGUGGAGUGUAGCUUAGAAGCAGCCAGAGAGGCAAGGUUGGCCCACAGCUGACUUCUCAACAGCAAUGGAUGAGCGGAAGACAGUGGAAUGACAUUUUUAAGGUGCUAGAGUGAAGUGACUACCUAGAAUUGUAUACUCAACCAAAAAUGUUUAAAUAAAGACACAUGCUAGAGGUUUCUCUUGGGAACAUACCUACGAGUAUAUACGCUUAGCUGAAGGGAAUAUGCAUCUGGCUUCAUGGACGCUUCCAACAAUAGCUUAGUUGGGGUUCCUUCCAGUUGCUUCUGUGAAAUUAAAGAAUUCAGACUUAAAGCUGUUGGAACUGUAUUCAGAGCCUUGAGAGGAACAUGGCUAUGCAACUUGAGUCACAUGGAAUGCAACUGCAACUUCUACCUUUUUUUUUCCCUAUAAAUAAUUAAGAAGACCAAACGACUUCAGAGAUAAGAAUCCCUUGAAUUUCUACCCCUCCUCAUGGAGUAAUAAAGUAUUUUCCUUGGAAUGCAGCAAUCUGUAACCGAUCAAGUCACUGUACGCACUGAUCGUGUAUGAAAAAUGUUGUAAUCCUGCUGAAAUUUCUCUGUCUCUGCCUAUGUAAGAGAAAUCUUAACUUCUCCACUUUGAAACAGUGACCCCAUUUGUUUGGAGUCAGUGUUGCCCAAGUGGCUAUCCUCAUGCUUUGGGCUCAAAGAAUCUCUACAUUUAAUCAUAGUUUCUGAAUCUCACUGUUUAAGGUUGACACUUCUCAUCCUCACCAACACGGGCUUUUGAGUGCUUGCCAAGCUGGUGGGUGAGACAUAGUGUCUCGGUAUAGUUCGGGGUUGCAUUUUCAUAUUGACUUUUCUUAUGCUGAUUGCCUUUGGGGUUUCUUCUCUUGUGAAGUACCAGUUGAGUCUUUGGUUGUUUCUUUUUCUUAGGAAUUUGUAGGCAUUCUUCAUUGUAUUAACCAUUACUUCUUUUUCCUGUAUUCUGAUGCUUUGACAUCUGGGAACGUGCUGACCCUGGAGGGAUGGCCCCUCCCAGGAUUAGCCAAUUUCUAGAAAUGAAGUCAUCUGUGAGUGCACCUUUCAAAUGUAAACCAACUAACUAAUCCAGAGCUCACAUUUGCAACGACCUCUUCUAUCAGGUUCUCAUACUCAGGGCUACCAUCCUCCUGCCAUAAUCACCCCAGGGCCAGGUACCAGACAGGCAGGGACAGUCCCUGUGCCCCAGAGCCUGUAACAUUAUUCAAACUAGCCCAUCCUAUGCCUACUUGCCCUGCCUCACUCGUUUUUUCCUACAGAAACCACAAUCAAGGCUCUUGCCCACACUUUCCCCUUAGUCCCUAUCCCUCCAGACCAACUCCCCUGCUUCCCUGUGCCCCCCAUCCACCCCGGGGUGCAGCAUGUCCCCUCCCCUGCAGAUCUGUGAGUAACAAACUAUCUUUUCAAUAAUGGUUAUCUCCUGAUCUGUUGGCCUCAUCAUAUCUGAAUAAUAAUAAAACCUAUAGCAGCCGGGCGUGGUGGCUCACACCUGUAAUCCCAGCACUUUGGGAGGCCAAGGUGGGUGGAUCACGGGGUCAAGAGAUCGAGACCAUCAUGGCCAACAUGGUGAAACCCCGUCUCUACUAAAAAUACAAAAAUUAGCUGGGCGUGGUGGUGCACGCCUUUAAUCUCAGCCACUUGGCAGGCUGAGUCAGGAGAAUCACUUGAACCCGGGAGGCAGAGAUUGCAGUGAGCUGAGAUCAUGGCACUGCACUCCAGCCUGGUGACAGAGCGAGACUCCAUCUCAAAAAAACAACAGCAACAACAAAAAAAAUUUUUCUUCAUACAAAUUAUUUGUCAGUUCUAAGCAUUGCAGUAUCUUCUCCCAGUUUGUAGUUUGUCUUUUCAUGCUUCUUAUGGUGUUUUUUGUUGGUUGGUUGGUUGGUUGGUUUUUGAAACAGUCUCGCUCUGUCGCCCAGGCUGGAGUGCAGUGGCACAAUCUUGGCUCACUGCAACCUCCACCUCCCAGGUUCAAGCAAUUCACCUGCCUCAGCCUCCCGAGUACCUGGGAUUACAGGCAUGUGCCACCAUGCCCAGCUAAUUUUUGUAUUUUUAGUAGAGAUGAGGUUUCGCUGUGUUGGCCAGGCUGGUCUCAAACUCCACACCUCAAGUGAGCCGCCCGCCUAACCUCCCCAAAGUGCUGGGAUUACAGGCGUGAGCCACCGUGCCUGGCCCUUACCAUGUUUUUUGAUGAACAUAAACUCUAAAUUGUAAUGUGGUCAAAUUCAUCAAUUGUACUGAAGGCCCCAACUGGGACAAUAAGGCAAAAAAAAUAAACUCAUAAAGACUGGAAAAGAAGACAAAAUCCUGUCAUUAUUCACAGAUAACGCAAUUAUCUAUGUUGAAAUUCCAAAAUAAUCUACAAACAAGUUAUUCAAAAUAAGAACAGACUCUACCAAGGUUUCGAGUUAGAAAGUCAGUGUGGGAAACUCAGGAAGAAAGUACUGCCCAUUACUGUCUCUUGAGGACCUGAGGCUUCAUCUCUACAAACACUUCCCCAAUUACAGAAGCCAAGGGAGGGACAUGUGGCAUGUCCCAGACAGCUCUUAAAGCUUCUCUCAGGAGGUGACACACCCCACUAUGCUUGCACACCAUUGGCCAAAACAAGUCACGUGUUCAAGCCUAACAAAUGUGAUUGGAUAGUCAGUCCCAUGAUUAGGUUACACCAUAUAAGACUCCAUCAUAGCCAAGUGGAGUGAGAUUCUUCUGCUGGUUUUGAAAAAGUGAGCUACCAUACUGUGAGAGAAGAGGCCACAGGUUAGAAUCUGAGGGCAACCUCUAGAAGUUGAGAGUGUCUCCAGCUGACAGCCAGCAAUAAAACAAGGACUUCAGUUCUACACCAAAAGCAACUGAAUUCUGUCAACAACCCCAUGAGCUUGGAAGCAUAUUCCUCCUCAGAGCCUCCAGUUGGGGACCACAGUCCCAGCCGCCAUCUUGAUUUCAGCCUUGUGAGAACCCAGGCAGAGAACCUAGCCAACCUGGACUUCUUGCCCUAGAAAACUGUGAGCUAAUAAGUGGGUAUUGCUCUAAGCCACUAAGUUUGUGUAAUUUGUUAUACAGCAUAGAUGACUAAUACAGAAUUUGGUGGAGAUUGGAAAUCCUACCAUGUGCCUGAACUAUUUAAAGCUGCAAAUACUGUGGUAAGAACACUAAUGAUCACCAUAGGCUCCUACCUCAUACCUCACCCAAAAAUCAGUUUCAGGGGUUUAACAGUUAAACAUCAAAGGCAGAACUAUGAAACAUUUAGAGGACAAUACAGAGUAACAUCUUAGAGCCUCGGGGGCAGGGACAUCUUAACAACACAUAAAAAGUACCAAUCCUAAAGGAAAACAAUGGACUAAUUUGGUCGAUGUAUUUUUAGGCAAAUGAAAAUUAAGAUGUUUGCACUAAUUAAUGCCAAUAAAGACAAUUCCAAAGGAUAUAUUUCAGGUCAAAGAGAAAUUACCACAGAAGGAAUAUGUAAGGUGCAAGAAAAGAUUGUGUGCAAAGAGCAUGGGGAACAUUUGGGGAAAUCUAAGCAAACCUGACCAAAUAAAACAAGAAAAGUCAGGUCUGCUUGUCGAAGUCAAAAUUAGAAGUAAACUGUAUUAGGUCCGUUCUCACGCUGCUAAUAAAGACAUACCCGAGACUGGGUAAUUUAUAAAGAGAAGAGGUUUCAUUGACUCACAGUUCUGCAUGGCUGGAGAGGCGUCAGGAAACUUACUGUUAUGGGGAAGGGGAAGCAAACACAUCCUUCUUCACGUGGCAGCAGCAAGGAGAAGUGCUGAGCAAAAGAGGGAAGCCCCUUAUAAAAACAUCACAUCUUGUGAGAACUCACUCAGUAUCAAGAACAGAUGGGGGAAACCGCCCCCGUGAUUCAAGUAUCUCCACCUGGUACCUCCCAUGACCUGUGGGGAUUAUGGGAACUACAAGAUGAGAUUAUGGGAACUACAAGGCACACAGCCAGACCAUAACAUAAACGAUAUAACACAAUUGCAUAUAAGUCAGAAGAGGAGAGACAGGAGAUGAUUCUAUGAUUUUGUACCAUUUGGAAGAAGCAUGAAAUAUUGAUUAACUUCGACCUUUACAAGUUUAGCACACCUGGUCAAAAUUUCAGAUCAAUUUAACAAUUUGUCCCUGCCAGGUCCUGCAGAUCAAAUUCUUCAACUAUGAUUAACUCCUGAAGGUCAAAUUCAGAUUUUAUUUUUUAGCAGUUUUAUUUUUGAGGGCAUUUUCGUUUCACCUCUUCCAAUGGGUAGAUGUUUCUUUCAUGAUACACCACAGCCUAUUAUUGUUAAGGCUUCAAGCCUCCCAGCCACUGACCUCUUCAAGCAAGGUAAGUUGUUAUCUGUGGCCCCUGAAUGUUCCUCACUUCGCCAGUACUUACAGUGAGUGGUACAACAUCAAUGCAAAGAUAGCUAUUCAGAGAAAUUGCCAAUUGUCAUGGGCCUCUGAAAAGGGAGCUUUUUCCACAAAAUCCAACAUUUCCCUGGAAACAUGGCUUCACCUUCUAUUCUUAUGAUUUACAGAAGUCACAAAGAAAGCACCUACUGCUAUUACUGGAAUUUCAGCUCAUAGUGUGGUCAAAAUCUAUAAUUUCUGUUGUGAUGUAUGCAAGCAUUACUUUGAAUGGCAUCUGACAGAGUUUGGUGGUCCAGGUCAUUACUGGCAAAUCAAGAGUCCUGUUUCAGCCACAAAAUCAAGUGUCAUCGCAGCCAUGCUAUGGAGAGGGAAAUAUGGGUUUUGGGUAAUGUAGAUAUUAAAAUAUAUUGUAACCGUGAGACCAGCUCAAACUGAUCAACCAUUGCGUAAGUUGUUACUGGUGAUGCAGAGCCGGAAUUGCCCAGGCGUGCACAAGAGAAAACACUUUAACCUCCUGUUAAUGCUGCCAGCCUGGCAGACCAGCUGUGUGGGCAUCAACUGGGACUAGUUAUAAAUGCCAUAAAAGCUCCACCCACCCCAGAUCAGAGAGACAGAUUUGAACACUGCCUCCUGUCUCCUUGCCAUUGACUCACAAUAAAGCUCUUUCUUUUUUCCAAAAGCCUGUGCCAUAGUAUUGGAUAGUGAGCCCACCACUCAGUAACAAUUUGUUGGCCUCAUAUUUGGCCAAAUGUAUAUGGCACAACUGAUUUUAAAAUAAUCCUUUCUGCCGGGCACAGUGUCUCAUGCCUAUAAUCCUAGCAUUUUGGGAGGCCAAGGUGGGUGGAUCGCUUGAGCCCAGGAGUUCAACACCAGCCUGGGCAACAUGGCAAAACCCCAUCUCUACAAAAAAUACAAAAUUUGGCCAGGCAUGUUGGUGUGCACCUGUAGUGCCAGCUACUAGGGAAGCUAAGGCAGGAGGAUUCCUUGAGCCUCGGACGCAGAGGUUGCAGUGAACCGAGAUCACGCCACUGCACUCCGGCCCAGGUAACAGAGGAAGACCUUCUCUCAAAUAAUAAUAAUAAUAAUGCUUUCAAUUCCCUUUUAUUGCCUACAUCACAACAAUUUUCUGUUAACUAAUAUGAUGUUUUGACUUUUGGUCUUAGUAUGUUUUAGUACAAAUAUUCAGAGACAAAUUUUUCAUCUAAGAGACAAAUUAUUCAGUUGAUCCAAAAUUUCUAGGGUCACCACCAUAAGAACAGAAAUUGAAUAUAUAAGUUCCAAAGUAGUGGAGGAGGAGAAAAUAAAAUGAGAAGAAAAAUAAACAAUCUGGGCCAGGCGCAGUGGCUCACACCUGUAAUCCCAGCGCUUUGGGAGGCCGAGGCGGGCAGAUCACAGGUCAGGAGUUCGAGACCACCCUGGUCAACGUGGUGAAACCCUGUCUCUACUAAAAGUGCAAAAAAUUAGCUGGGCGUGGUGGCAAGCACCUGUAAUACCAGCUACUCAGGAGGCUGAGGCAAGAGAAUCACUUGAACCCGGGAGGUGGAGGUUGCAGUGAGCUGAGACCGUGCCACUGCACUCCAGCCUGGGCAACAGAGCGAGACUCUGUCUCAAAAAAAAAAAAAAAGAAAAAGAAGCAAAAGCAAUCUAAAUGAAGCUACAAAAAGAGAGAAAAGACUACCCAUGGGGCAAACUCAAAGAGUGGAAACAAAUCCCCCAAAGUUAUGUUGAACGUAAUGGCAACCACCCAGGCCUGGUCAGUGCUCUGAACUUGACCUAGAGAAAAGACCUUCCGCCUGCUGCCUGCUCCUCGUCCUUCAGGUUGCAGAGUUCAUGCCGCCUUCUCAGAGAGGCCCCUGCUGACCUCCCUGGCUGAGCUCGCUUCCCAUCUCUUUGCUUUCAUAGUGUGGUCCUGUUUGGUUAGUGCAGGCCAUCCCCGCUACAUGCAGAUUCCACACUUGUGACUAUGCCCACUCGCUAAAAAUGCAUGUGUAGCCUCAAAUCAACACUCUCAGUGCCUCUAGCCACAUAUAGACAUGUGCAGGUGGCAAAGCGUCUGCACUGCUUGACGUCCAUGUUCCUAGCUGAGGCUGAACCAGCCGACACACAGCCUUCUUGUCUUGGCUCUCAACCUGUUGUACUGAAACAGGUGUCAUUUCUGCGAUGUACUUAAUGCCACUUUAUCCACGUGUUUGUGCAUUUUGCUUGUGAUUCUACCACUUAAAGUGCCGUCUAAUGUUCCUAAAUUGGAAAGGCUGUGACAUGCCUAAUGGAGAUAGACUUGCGCUAGGUGAGCCUCUUUCAGGCAUGAGGUAUGGUGCUGCUGGCCAUGAGUUCAGUGUUAAUGAGUCAGCCACAGAUAGAAAAUGAGGUGUCUUCCAACAGAAACACACAUAAAACAAAGGUACGUAUUGAUCAGUUGGCAAAAAUGUAGCCAAGGCUUGUAGGAACCUAACUGAUAAGGUUUGGCUCAGGGGCCCCACCAGGAAUGCAUCUCCUUCUUUGUUGUAGCCAGUUUCUAAGAUGGCUUCCAUAUUCCUCCCCACUGGUAUCCACACCCUUGUGUAGUGCCCUCCCUCACUUAAUAAGACUGACCUCUGCAACCAAUAGAAAUGAUGGGGUGUGAUUUUCCAGGCUAGAUGAUAAAAGAUGUGGCUUCUUGGAUCACAUGCUCUGGGGAAAAUCAGCCACCACGUUGUGAGGACACUCAAGCAUUGCUGUGGAGAGGUCUCCGUUGCCAGGAGCUGAGGCCUCCCACCAGUUUGCCAAACACAUGAGAAUCUGCAUUUGGAAGCAGAUCCUUGGCCUCAGUCAAGCCUUCUGAUGAUGCAGCCCAGCCAACGCCUUGACCACAACCUCAUGAGAGACCCAGAGCCAGGACUGCCCAGCUAAGCCACUCCCAAAUUCCUGACCCACAGAAACUGUGUGAGAUAAUAGAUGUUUCUUCUUGUGUUAACCCAUUAAGUGCUGGGGAAAUUUGUUGUGCAAUAAUAAACAACUGAUACAUACCUCUUUGGUUUUUCAGAGUCCUUCCCUUCCUCAGAAGCCAGGGUCAAGCCCACCUCCAUUCCCACUCCUGGGAAGACUGCUCUGAGGGUUGGCCACAAUUUUACCCUCCCCUGGGCCCCACACAGUGAACUUGACAUACACUUUGG
rnacentral:lncRNA from 1 species